GUGAACGCUGGCGGUAGGCCUAACCCAUGCAAGUCGAACGGCAGCACAGUAAGAGCUUGCUCUUACGGGUGGCGAGUGGCGGACGGGUGAGGAAUACAUCGGAAUCUACUUUUUCGUGGGGGAUAACGUAGGGAAACUUACGCUAAUACCGCAUACGACCUACGGGUGAAAGCAGGGGAUCUUCGGACCUUGCGCGAUUGAAUGAGCCGAUGUCGGAUUAGCUAGUUGGCGGGGUAAAGGCCCACCAAGGCGACGAUCCGUAGCUGGUCUGAGAGGAUGAUCCGACACACUGGCACUGAGAAGCGGUCGAGAAUACUACGCGAGGCAGCAGUGGGGAAUCUUGCGCAAUGGGGGAAAGCCUGACGCAGCUAUGCUGCGUGAAUGAUGAAGGUGGUAGGGUAGUAAAACUCUUUCACCCGGGACGAUAAUGACGGUACCCGGAGAAGAAGCCCCGGCUAACUUCGUG
rnacentral:rRNA from 1 species